UCUUUUUAAUGAUUCUUAAUCUUUGGGGAAUUCAUUGAGAUCUUGCCACACUUUUUCUUACUUCCAAUCCAUCCAUUCAUUCGCAUUCCAUUUCUUGAAGAAUUCAAUUACCCUCCCCUCUUUCUUCUCAUUCUUCCAGUCCCAAAUCCCUAUCUUCCUUAUUCUGCUUAAUCCAAGAUAUUGAACUCUUGGGAUAAGACAGCUAGUCCUUGGAUUGGAUAGAGUUACUUGUUGUGAGGGAUCAUGACACCAUAUCACAUGAUUCUGAUGUUGUUCGCUGGGACCUUCAUAAUCUCUUAGAUGUUUGCACACUUUCCAAUAAUGGUUCUCCUAGUAUCAUAACUAGACAUGAUCCGGAUUUAAGUAGCAGCCUAGAAUAUGUUAGAGAAGGCUUCUGUCAGCCUUCGUAGGUGGAGAAUGAUGAAGCUGUUGCUCGUGCUUACCAGGAAGAAUUAUCACAACUUGAAUCCUUGGAAGCUUCUGGGAUGUCGAAAUUUGGGAACGAUCAAGUGCAGGCAGCCGUACUUGCACAGGAUUGGCAUUCUUACUGAGAUGGAAGCAGAAAUUUUGGUGGCAAUGAAAAUUGUGUGGCUGUAUUGAUGUUGUCAUGGUUCACUGAUAGCUUGAUGUGUGGCUGUAUUAAGAAUGGUGAGUGAAUGGGGUGAUCAUGUCACAUUGCAGGCUGCUGCCGAUUGGGUGUGAUGAAAUAUACCAUUUUCAUUUUGUAUUUGCCUUCCCUAUUUAUUAUGAUAUCCUUCUUUUUGGCUUGCAAUUUCAAAGUCAGUGUUCUUUAUCUGUUUGAUUCUAUUGGAUUCAUGUAAAGCAUUCUUUGUAUCUUUUAGAGGCCAUCUUAGCAGGUAUGGUUUAUCUUUUUUCUAUGAAGUCACAUUUACACUUA